UUUCAAUUGGUGUUCUUUUUAUAUAAUUUACAUAAUUUUUAAUUUUUUUUUUACUCUCUAUAUUUUAAAAGGUAUAGAUAUAAUUAUACUGACUGGUUUAAUGUCCCUAUCUACUAAUUCUAUCAUCUUCAGAUUAUCUGUCAAAUUAUUCUGCUUCUUUGAAUACCUGGUAAUUUUGGGUUGGAUGCCAUACAUUGUAAAUCUUGGUUUCUUCCAUGCUGAACAUCAUUUCUUUUAAAAAAUAUUCCUGAAAUUCUUUGUGAGACACAAUUACAUUUCUUGGAGACAGUUUGAUUAUUUUGUGAAGAACUGAAGGAACAAUGCCUUUGUCCUGAAAUUGGUUAUAUUUUUCUUUGUGUCUUAGUCUUUUUGUUUCUUAUUGUCUUCAUAAUUAUGUGUGAUGUCUGUGCUCUGCUUUGUACUUCCCGCAUUUUUUUCUAUUACUCAUAGAACCUCUUGCUGUGGUAUUGAUUAUAAAUUUCACAAACACCAACCUAGCAAUCUCAUUUAAAAUAGAAAAGUUGCUUCAUUCUGUGUAUUUUUAUCAACCACAGAAAGGAUUCUGAUUUGCCUUCUUAAGGGAUGUAACCGUUAUUUGAAACAACCAUUAUUGCUAGGAAUUAAGUGUUAUGUUUAGACUGGCCUAUUCAGAAGAAAGAUGAUAGGAAAUAGUACUGAGUACACAUACAACAAAACAAUAGCUUCUUAAAUGUACUACAUCAGAGUAAUAUUAUUAUGCUCAUAUAUUGCUGGAAGGUAAUUAAGUUAUAAGCUUCCUGGAAAUAAACUUUUAAAUAUGUUUCAAAAACCUUAAAAUUGUUGAUAUUUAUGGCCUAGCAAUUCCAUUUCUGGGAAUUGACAUUACAGAAAUAUUGAGACAGACAUAUCAAUGUUUACAUAAAAGUAUAUUUAUUAUAACAGAUAACAGAAAAAUUCAAAACAUUUUUAAUGCCCAUUUUUAGGACAAUGUUUAAAUAAAAUAUGGGAUAUCUAUCUAACAGAAUAUAAUGUAUUAUUAAAGUAUUGUUUAAAAAUAUUUGCAUUUGAUCACUUUUUAUUUACUCAUAUUAUGUUGAAAUUAGAAUUUCAAUAGUAAAAUUGUAUCUGCACAUGAUAACUUCAGCGAUUGUAAUAUAUAUGUGUGUGGUGUAUGUGCACACAUUAGAAAAAUCACCUUCAGGAACUGUCCAGAUUAAAAUACACUGACAAAUUAACAGUAAAUGUCACAUUACAAUAGACUUUUGGGGGAUUAUUUUUUCUUAUAGUACUUUGCAAUUUCCAAAUUUUCGACAAUGAACAUGUUACCUUUAAAGUCCUUUUUUCUAAUGUAUAUGAAAAAUAUUUAGAACUCAGUAAUUAUUUAUAUUGCUAAGAACAGAGGCCAAAAUGUAGAAGACAUUCAUCCUCUUAGCAACAUUGACUGGUUCAGGCGUGAAUAAAUCACACAAGCAGGCUCAAUAAGACUUUUUCCCUGGCAUUGACACACGGCCUAUAGAACUUCAUUCUAUUCAGGUCUGUUCCUGACCAACAUUUCUGUACAUGUUUGUCACUGGUCACAGAGAAGACUUGGAGAAAAUUGAAUUGGUUCAGCAUAAUCUUUCUCCACAGUUAGAACUUUACAUGUCAAAGAUUAUUUUAGGCUUAUAUUAUUUUGAAGAAUAUAACUAUAUAUUUAUUUAGUAACUUUCUUCAUGCAACUCAAAUUGUAUGAAUUACUUUAUUCUUCAUUUUUUAAAAAACUUUCUAACAUACACAAAUGUGAAGGAUAGUGAAAUUAGCUUCCAGAUAUCCAAUAUCCCAAUGGUAGAAUUUUCAAGCUUAGAUGCUCAUGUUUCAUCUACUCCUCUUCCUUAUUUUUGAAAAAUAUGUUAAAGAAAAUCCAAGACAUUCUGAAGUUUCAUUCCAGUAUACUUCAGUGUGCAUCUCAAAAGCCAUGAAUAUUUAUUUACAUAAACACAAUGCCAUUAGCACAUAUUUGAAGUUUGAUAAAAAACUAUUUUGUGCUCGGGGGACUGACAUAAAAUAAUUAGCACCCUCAGAAAGGGUUAAACAACUUUAACAGAACUAUUUACAAAUACAUCGGUGAAAAUUAGGAAAACCAACAAGGGAGAGGGCAGUAUUGUGGGACAAACAGCAUCAAGAGCCAUUAACACUAAUAUGACUAAAGAACAAAGGAGAGAUAGGUAAUUAACAAACUCUUGAGGCUCUACUGUGAAAGGAAAAUAAAUCUUGGGGCCCCAAAAUCACUAAGGUGAAGGGAAAAGUCAAGCUGGGAACUGCUUAGGAUAAAUAUGCCUCCCAUUCUGUUUAAAGUUACCCCUCUACUCACUGAGAUAAAUGCAUAUCUAUCUGAUUGCCUCCUUUGGAGAGGGAAUCAGAAACUCGAAAGAAUGCAACUAUUUGUGUCUUAUCUACCUAUGACCUGGAAGCCACAUCCCUGCUUCGAGUCAUCCCACCUUUGUUUUGAGUUGUCCUGCCUUUCCAGACUGAACCAAUGUUCAUAUGUUGAUUGAUGCCUCAUGUCUCCCUCACAUGUAUAAAACCAAACUGUGCUCUGACCACCUUGGGCACAUGUUGUCAAGACCUCCUGAGGCUGUCUCAGUGGUGCAUGUCCUCACACUUGGCAAAAUAAACUUUCUAAAUUAGCUGAGACUUGUCUCAGAUAGUUGGAGUUCACAUUUUUGUAACCACGGAGGGAUUCUGAGUGGAUAUUUCCCUGACAUUUGACAAAUCUCCUAUCAGUGCUUGGUAGAGCAUGAGCUAACUUUAUGGCUGAAACCAAUAGGACAAUUUGUUCAGGUCUGGGGGGAGGUGCAGCUCAUCCAGAGAAUCCCUAAUCUCCCAGAAUUUGGUUGAGAUAUAAAGUUUAUUUUGCUCUUCAACUUCCCUUUUUCUUUUUCUUUUUUUUUUUUUUUUUUUGGAGUUUUACUUGCUUCCAACAAGGAAGACAAGAUUUCCUGCUUCCAUGACAAUAGAAGGCAGAUAACCCCUUUAUGGAGUUUGAGCUUGCUCCCAGCAGAGGAUGAGUUGAGUUUUUUCCCUGCUGCUAGAUGGUAGAGGACAGUAUUCAGCCUGAGACCCAUCCCUAGAGUCAAGGAAACUUUUAUUUUGAGCUAUUGUAAGGUUUCAACAAUUUAGUAUACUCCUAUGAAGAAAAUUUGGAGCGUAUUUGUUUCUCUUUACCUGAUUUCUCCAGAAUUUGGAAACUAUUUGCGAGUAGUCUUAACUUACAGCAAUAUGGCUAUUUGCAUAAGUGCAAAUAAAAAUCUGUUAUAAUUUGUAACAGGACACAAUGGGAGAAACUGGUUAUUUUACCAAGGCUUUCACUGGAAUGAUGUGCUUUCCUUUAAGAAAUCAAACUUAACUUAUGGAGCCAAUAAAAACCCAUUGGGAAAACUGGCCUCAUACCUUGUUUACACAGCCCAUGUACAGGGUUCGUGACCUGGGGUAAGUAAAGAAUGUCACUUUCUGACAGGCUCAGGAGCCCUAAGUUUAUCUUGGGACCUUAAGAGGAGAAGAUCACCCAACUCAUGGGUAUUUGAUGGUACAAAUCCAUGGCUGGGCUCAGCUUUAAAAGAGUCUUAUCUGAGAUUCCUUCUAUAGGACAAAGUUCCAUCAAAGCCAAUUUAAAAGCCUAUGUAAAAAAUAAU
rnacentral:lncRNA from 1 species